rnacentral:lncRNA from 1 species
GGCCCUUGAAUUGGUGGGGACCACAAGCUAGUGGAAAGCAUCUAGUCAAUUGGGCUCUUAAAAGAAAGUUACGGAAAGAGACUUGGGGCAAGAAGUACUUUGAAGGUUUUGUCCACAUGUGUGGGGACCACCUAGAUAGACUUUAGUCAUCUUUCUUUUGUUGCUUAAAUAGGGAUAACGUAGAGUAGGAGGGACAUCUCUAGUUUUAGUCUUUUAGUGUAGCUUUACUUUUUUCUUCUUUUGACUGGUCUCUGACACACGCCAGGUGUUCGACAAAAUUCCCCAACGGGAAAAACAUCUUUUAUUCCUUGCUUUCUAGUAAAAAAAACGCUAUGCCUUUGCAAUCCAUUAAUUUGUGUGGUGAAUUAAUUAUGCGGCGUGGCUAAGUCUCCCAUCUAGUCAAGGGUCAACUCGACGGCGCAGUCCCGAAAAUCUGUGAGAUCUAAUUAGUUUUCACGCGUUCCUUUAUCUAUUAAUAUUUGCAUGCUGCCUGAUUUAAUUUUCAUGGGAUUAUUUUAUUAAUUGGAUGUCAAGGGCCCGAUGUUCAAUGUGAUUUAUUAAUCUCGUGCCAUUUUAGUCAAUUAAAUCCGUAAUUGUUUGAUUGAUUAAUAUUAGUGGCAACUGGUGUGUUUACACAUUAGGGGAACGUGCAAUCUAAUUUAAAUAACCCUCGUAGCGCGUUAUUGAUUAGGGCUAGGUUUUUCUGGUUAUUAAUGCAAUUGAAAAAUUAAUUCCUACGGUCGUACCUAGGAGUACUUUUCUGGUUAGGGGUGAUUAAUGGUCGUACCUUGAUCACCUAUAAAUUAAGGAAAAAUUGGUCAUUAGAGUUCAUCAAUGGCUAUAACUAGCCUAUUAAUAAAUAAAGUAAACCUCUUUUGCAUCAAUGAUCGGAUAAAUGGACUGUGCCUGAGUAGUUGCAUUCUUGGCUAGAAUUUAUUUAUUCUUGAUUAAAUUCCUGCUAUACUUGUGAUAGUGACUUAAUCAUUUUUAAUUAAAUUGUUUAAUUAUUUUUGUUUCAUUCCGGUGACAUCCCCCCUUAUCAAUUGGACUAAGAAAAGAGACAGAUAUCUCCAGUCCCUGAGGAGACGACCCUACUUGCCACUGUCUACUAUUUAGUAAUUUUUGUCAAUUAAUUAAUUCUGGUAUAUCGGAUUAAGCAAACUCUUUGGGAACAGGGUGAAUCAAGUAACCCAUUGCACACCUAGAGUCCCUGCUCCAGUACUUGGAAUUAAUUGCUGACUGCUCUUAGUGGUAGCUAAGUUCUAUAUUUAUUAUUAUUAUUGCACAGGCUGACGACCUGUCAAUUUUUGGCACCGUUGCCGGGGACUGGCGUUAUUAUUUGUUUCUUUAUUAAGUUCAUUUUCGCUCUAAUUUUCUGGUAUUUUUCUAGUGUAUGCCGCGAUCUUCUCGUAUAGGUAAUUUGGUUUUUGACCAUGAGGUAGAGAAGACUGCGCGUAGGACAAGAAAAUAGACCAGACAGCUCCGAGAGGAGCACUCCAGUGCUACAUCUCAGAGACCUGAGCCAGAAGUUGAACCAACAGAUUCAUUUGGAGACACUUCGAGUGACUCAGAGCAAGAAGAAAUCCCCAUGGCUAACACACAGACAUUAAGGGAGUUGGCUGCUCCAAACUUGACCCAGCAACCUCUUUGCAUAACUUUUCCUCGCCUUAGUGAGAAUGCAGCUUUUGAAUUAAAACCUGGCUUAAUACAUUUGUUGCCUAUUUUUCAUGGUCUGCCAGGAGAGGAACCCCACAAACACAUGCAGGAAUUUGACGUGGUAUGUUCGAGUAUGAAGCCUUCGGGAGUAACUGAUGAACAAAUUAAAUUAAGGGCCUUUCCUUUUUCUCUCAAGGAUUCGGCAAAGGACUGGUUAUACUGUCUACCUGCAGGCAUUAUCACCACGUGGCCAGAGAUGCAGAAAAAAAUUUUUGAAAAAUAUUUCCCUGCAUCCAGAGCUGCUAGUUUGCGAAAGGAAAUAUGUGGCAUCAAACAAUUUCACGGGGAAUUCUUGUAUGAAUAUUGCGAGAGGUUCACCAGGCUGCGUACCCAAUGCCCGCAUCACCAAAUAAGUGAUCAACUCCUGAUUCAGUACUUCUACGAGGGACUAUUGAUGAACGAUAGAAAUAUCAUUGAUGCAGCAAGUGGUGGUGCACUGGUGAAUAAGACUACCCAAGAGGCAUGGGACUUAAUUGAGCGAAUGGCAGAGAAUUGCCAGCAGUUUGGUACGAGAGCAGAUGUUCCUACGAGAAAGGUCAACGAGGUAAGUUCAUCUUCCAUUGAACAGCAGUUAUCUGAAUUAACCUCAUUUGUUCGACAGAUAGCUGUAGGAAAUGCACAGCAGGCCAAAGUGUGUGGGAUUUGCACGAAUAUUGGUCAUACCAUUGACUCGUGCCCACAGUUACAUGAAGAGGGAAUUGAGCAAGCAAACAUGGCUGGUAACAUGCCCAUGCCACGUAGACAGUAUGACCCCUAUUCCAACUCAUACAAUCCGGGUUGGAGGGAUCAUCCAAAUCUAAGCUAUGGGGGAAAUAAGCAACAAAAUUUCAUCCCCAAUAGACAGCAGGGCUUCCAGCAACAAUAUAAAACAAGGAAUCAACCCGCCUCUGCCUCAGGUAUGUCCCUAGAAGACAUGGUUAAAACCAUAGCCUCUAAUACUAUGAAAUUUCAACAGGACACUGAGGCCAGCAAUCAAGAGAUGAAAGCACGUAUGCAAAACUUGGAAAAUCAGAUGAGUCAAUUAGCCUCAAUUGUCAACCGACUAGACUCCCAGGGAAAGGGAAAACUUCCAUCCCAACCUGAGGUGAAUCCUAAGAAUGUAAGUGCAAUGACCCUCAGGAGUGGGAAAGAGGUUGAAGGACCAGCGCCAGUGGCUCCAAAGGACAAGAAUGAGGACUGCAUUGAGAAGGAGCUUGAGGAAGAAGGAACGCCCGGCACAAAUAAAGAGGUAAUACGGAACCCAAUGGUUCCAGUUAAGCCUAACCCACCACCUUUUCCUAGCAGGUUGGAAAGGCCUAAAAAGCAAGACAAGGAAAAGGAAAUUUUGGAGAUGUUUAGGAAGGUGGAGAUAAAUAUCCCCUUACUUGACGCAAUUAAGCAAGUACCCCGGUAUGCCAAAUUUUUGAAGGACCUAUGCAUCAAUAGGAAGAAAUUGAGGGGAGAUGAAAGGAUAAUUGUGGGAGAGAACGUAUCUGCAGUGCUUCAAAGAAAACUUCCACCCAAGUGCGGAGACCCAGGUAUGUUCACUAUUCCUUGUAAAAUAGGGAACACUAGCAUUAGGAAUGCCAUGUUAGAUUUAGGAGCCUCUAUAAAUGUGAUGCCCAAGGCUAUUUAUGCUUCUCUGAAUUUGGGCCCCUUAAAAGAAACUGGCAUUAUAAUUCAAUUGGCUGAUAGGACUAAUGCUUAUCCUGAUGGGGUGAUAGAAGAUGUGUUAGUCCAAGUGAACAAUUUAGUGUUCCCUGCUGAUUUUUAUAUUCUUGAUAUGGGUGAUGAACGUUCUCCAAAUCCAUCACCAAUUUUGUUGGGGAGGCCCUUCUUGAGCACGGCUCGUACAAAAAUUGAUGUUAGUAAGGGCACCCUAACGAGGGAAAUUGAUGGAGAAAUAGUUCAUUUCAGUAUAUUUGAGACCAUGAAAUAUCCGUGUCAUUCUAAUGCUGUUUUUGCUGUGAGUAUAAUUGACCCUUUGGUGCAAGAAGUAUUUGAGAUUGAUGGCAGGGAUGAAUUGGAGGUAGCAAUCACCAAACCUUUAGAUCUGGAAGCAACCUGCGAAAUGGAGUUAGACAUCAAUUUGCAAAGAAUGGUUGGAGCCUUGCAUUCACUAGGCCAAAGUCCUCUAAGGUAUGAUGUUGCUCCCAUAUUUGUGCCUGAACCACACCUAAAGCUAUUACCUUCUAUUGUGCAGGCACCUGAAGUGGAGUUGAAACCCCUGCCCGAGCAUUUAAAGUAUGCCUUUCUAGGUGAAAAAGAGACGUUACCAGUGAUAAUCUCAUCCAAAUUAUCACCCACAGAGGAGGACAAGCUGCUGCGGGUUUUAAGGGAGCAUAAGGAAGUUAUAGGGUGGACAAUUGCAGACAUCAAGGGUAUAAGCCCGUCUGUGUGCAUGCAUCGAAUUCGCCUGGAAGAGGAUGCUAGGCCGAUAAGACAACCACAAAGGAGAUUGAACCCCAUCAUGAUGGAAGUGGUCAAGAAAGAGGUAAUCAAGCUUCUGGACGUAAGAAUUAUUUUCUCUAUCUCAGACAGUCCAUGGGUGAGUCCGGUCCAAGUGGUGCCAAAGAAAGCAGGGGUAACUGCGGAAGAAAAUCAUGAAGGGGACCUUGUUCCAAUUCGAAAGCCUACGGGUUGGCGCCAGUGCAUCGAUUACCGUAAAUUGAACGCAGUGACCAAGAAGGAUCAUUUUCCCCUUCCAUUCAUUGAUCAAAUGGUUGAAAGGUUAGCUUGUCGUGCCUAUUAUUGUUUUUUAGAUGGUUUCUCUGGUUAUUUUCAGAUAGCAAUUGCGCCAGAGAAUCAAGAGAAAACAACUUUCACUUGCCCCUUUGGCAUUUUUGCCUAUCGAAGGAUGCCUUUUGGAUUGUGUAAUGCCCCUGCAACAUUCCAGAGGUGUAUGAUUAGCAUUUUUUCUGAGUAUGUGGAGAGAAUAAUUGAGGUAUUCAUGGAUGACUUCAGUGUCUAUGGUGAUAGUUUUGAUGAUUGCUUAGAUAACCUGACCUUAAAAAGAGAUGCAUCGAGACUAACCUAGUGCUCAAUUGGGAAAAAUGUCACUUCAUGGUUGAGCACGGGAUAGUUCUAGGACAUGUAGUGUCACCUAGAGGAAUUGAAGUUGAUAAAGCUAAAAUAGAUGUGAUAUCUGCUUUACCUUACCCCGUAACUGUACGGGAAGUUCGUUCUUUUCUAGGACAUGCAGGUUUCUAUCGCAGAUUUAUCAAGGAUUUCUCAAAGAUCGGGGCACCACUUUUUAGGCUUUUGCAAAAGGAUGUCAGUUUUGAAUUCAAUGAGGAGUGCAAAAAAGCGUUCGAGAAGUUGAAGAAAUUACUCACUUCUCCACCUAUCAUCCAACCUCCUGAUUGGAAUCGCCCAUUCGAAAUUAUGUGUGAUGCCAGCGACUACUCCGUGGGAGCAGUUUUGGGACAAAGCGUGGAGAAAGCGGCGCACGCAAUAUAUUAUGCCUCUAGAGUUUUAAAUGGCGCCCAACUCAAUUACUCUACCACGGAGAAAGAACUCUUAGCUGUUAUUUUUGCUUUGGAAAAGUUUAGACCUUAUUUGUUAGGUGCUAAAGUAAUUGUGUAUUCUGACCAUGCAGCUUUGAGGUACCUACUGACCAAGAAGGACGCUAAGCCCCGCUUGAUAAGAUGGAUAUUGCUCCUGCAGGAAUUUGACUUGGAAAUCAGAGAUAAAAAAGGAGCAGAGAAUCUAGUAGCUGACCACCUAAGUCGAAUACUGGUAGCAGAGGAGGAAUUACCAUUAAGGGAGUCUUUUCCUGAAGAGCAUUUACUUUCUAUUAAUUUAACUUUGCCCUGGUAUGCAGAUAUUGUUAAUUUUCUAGUUACUGACAAGUUUCCUGCAGGAUGGCCUAAGGCAAAAAGGGAUAAGUUAAGGAGUGACGCAAAGUCUUACAUCUGGGAUGACCCUUACCUCUGGAAGCGUGGUGCCAACCAAAUCAUUCGCAGAUGUGUAAGUGAAAAUGAAUUCCAGUCUAUUUUAGCUUAUUGUCACUCUUUUGCAUGUGGGGGUCACUUUGGACCAAAGAGGACUGCCCGUAAGGUUCUAGAGAGUGGAUUCUAUUGGUCAAUCCUCUUUAAGGAUGCCUACUCAUUUUGUAAGUCAUGUGAUAAGUGUCAAAGAGUAGGUAAUAUUUCUCGUAGGGAUCAAAUGACCCAAACCCCAAUGAUUUUUGUUGAGAUUUUUGACGUUUGGGGUAUUGAUUUUAUGGGCCCUUUUCCUUCGUCUUAUGGUUUUCUAUAUAUAUUGCUUGCUGUAGACUAUGUUUCGAAAUGGGUGGAAGCAAAACCCACUCGUACUAAUAAUUUCAAAGUGGUUGCAGAAUUUGUCAAAUCUAACAUUUUUGUCCGCUUUGGAAUGCCUCGAGCAAUUGUAAGUGAUCGGGGUACCCAUUUCUGCAACAAGACGAUUGCUGCGCUUUUCAGGAGGUACGGUGUCUUGCACAAAGUCUCCACUUCUUACCAUCCUCAGACAAACGGUCAGGCGAAGGCAUCGAACCGGGAGAUCAAGUCAAUUUUGGAGAAGAUGGUUCGACCCGAUAGGAAGGAUUGGAGUAUAAGACUUGAAGAUGCCUUGUGGGCAUAUAAAACGGCAUACAAGACACCAAUCGGCAUGUCCCCUUACCGUUUGGUAUUUGGGAAGCCAUGCCACCUCCCUGUCGAGUUCGAGCAUAGAGCAUUUUGGGCGGUCAAGCAAUGCAAUAUGGAUAUCGAAGAGGGCGGAAUUCAAAGGAAGCUAUAGUUACAAGAAUUGGAGGAGAUUCGCAAUGAAGCUUACGAGAAUGCUGUGAUUUAUAAGGAGAAAAACAAGAUUUUUCAUGACCAGCAGGUCUCUAGGAAGACGUUUGAAUGUGGGCAAAAAGUUCUACUGUAUCACUCCAAAUUGAAGCUAUUUCCAGGUAAACUACGUUCUCGUUGGAUUGGUCCCUUUGUUGUAACUAAUGUCUUUGAUUAUGGUGCAGUGGAGAUCCAGAGUCUAAAGACGGAGAAGAAAUUUGUGGUGAACGGUCAUCGUCUCAAGCCAUAUUAUGAUGGGGCUCCAGUUGAACGGAUAGAGACAAUGCAUGUGGAGGACCCAAUUUGUUUGGUUUAAGCAAAUUAUGGGAUUUGUCUAGCCAAAGACACUAAAGAAAGGCGCUCUUUCGGGAGGCAACCCGAAUAUUGAUUUUAUUGUUUUUAGUUGUUCAUUUCUUUCAUUCUGUCGUUUCCUCGUUGGGUAGUAUGAGUAUUAAUAUUUCCUUCACUGCAAUCAGGAAAUCCAAUUUUGGCGUGCCCACGCGGUGUUGGUGUUUCCUGAAACCAGAGGACGAAAACCAAUCUUGGCGUGCCCAUGCGGUGUUCGGCGACCUAAUCCAUAUAAAAAAAAAUCCACUUUUAUUAUUAGUAUUAUUAAUACUAUUUUUAUUCUUAUUAGUAUUAUUAUUCUUAUUCUUAUUAUUCCUAUCUUUAAACGAAGAAGAAGUGAUUAUUUUUCAAAAAAAAAAUAUAUAUAUAUAUACAUAUAUAAUACAAAAAAAUACAAAAAUAAAAAAAUAAUAAUAAAAAAAAAGAAAUUUUUCAGCAAUUUCCAGCUGAAACGAUUACAUUAGCGUAUUGUUUAAACAAAAAAAAAAUCCCCUUUUCUCUUUUCUUUUUCUUCUUUUCUUCUUUCCUUCUUUUCUUUCUUUCUUUCUUUCUCUUCUUUCUGUCUUCUUCCCCGCUGCCCCUAUUUCCUUUCUUCUCCUUUUUUCUUCUUUCGGACGCCGCCCUUUUCUCUUGUUUCUUCGACCAUUGCGCGCCGCCUCCACCAGACGCCGCCUCCACCAGACGACGCCUCCACCUGCAGCCCACAGUAGCACGGGCCGCCGACACCAUCUCCAGCCGCGAUCCGCAACCCCCAACCCGCGCGCCGCCGCCACUGCUGUCCAGCACCUCGCGCGGCCAACAACUCCAGCUUCGUCCGCCACUCCCAGCUCGGCCCUGUCCUCCCUCGUUCACCCCACCACAGCCAACACCAGCUUCCUCCACCGCUGUCCGCGUGCGACAGCAGACCAGGACGCCACCUCUUUCCUCCGCACACCUCGUACGGCCCUCUACCUCACUCACUCCCCGUCGCUGGUCGGCACCACUGCCCAGACGCCGCAACUCGCGCCACAGCACUAGGCCUGACCAACCAGCGCGCCGCACGCAGCUCCUCGUGCGCGACAGCCGUGCGACGCCGCGCCUCCCUCAGCAACAGCUCCAAGCUCCAGCAAGCGCCACCACCAGCUCACUGCUGUCCAGCACCUCGCGCGGCAGCAACUCCAGCCGACAGAGCACCGCCUCCUUGAUCACCAGUUCCGCGGCCACGCACUUCACCACCUGUCCAAUUGAGACAGGUGGAGGUAUUAUACAUUCUUUCCCUAAUUAGUUUCAAUCUCUGAAAUUUGUGGUUGAAUUUCUUGUUGGAUUUGGGGGAAAUUGCUGCUAUAUGUGGGGUUAUUCUCUGAUAAUUAUUGAAUUUUUUAACUUGUGGGGUUAAUUAUGUGGGGUUAAUUUUUUUACUUGUGGCCCUUGAAUUGACAUUGGCUGGGCAUUUUUCUGCGUCUGUUUGUUGAAUUGGAGGGCUACUGUGUCCCUUCCUUUGCUAAUUGCUGAUUGAUUGUGCCUAAUUAACCAACUUGGGUUAUUUUGAGUCGUAUUGCACGUUUGGGCUGUUUUGUUCUUAUAUUGGAUUCUAUUGGGGCUGUUGCUCUUUAUUAAUUGCAUUUGCUGUCUUGUUGGGGAUUGUUCUAGCCUAAGGGUGCUUGCAUUGCUUUCCUGUCCGUGCACCAGUGGUACUGGUGGCAGUAUUGCUUUCCAUUUCUUCAUUCUCUGUGCUGAACUGUCUCUCAAUUCUCACCAUUUAUUGCUGCAAUUGCUGGUUAAAAUUGGGGGCACCCGUGACGCUUAUAUUUGCUACUUGGUUGUUUUGGGUUGCUUGCUGGUCACCAUGGUGAAGCCUCGAUCUUCUUCUAAGACUAGGACCCCUAGGACUCCUCAGCCCCCUCCACCCCAGCAUUCCAUUCCCGCCUCUGACCCCUCGCACGACCCUUCCUCCUCUGGGAGGCGGGCUCGUCUUGGGCGACAAAGAGGCGUCCAUAUCUCUGACCCUGCACAUUUUGGGGGUCAUUUGGACUUCACCAGGGCCGCCGACAAGGGGCGCUAUGAAGCGGUUUGUGAACGACGGAUUAUUCCUUGUCGUUAUCGGGACCCCGCCAUCUUGGGCCUUCUAAAUAUUAGCGUCCCCUUGCACGAUUUGAUUGAGGCCAUCGGGUGGCGCCCCUAUUCUCGUAUAACUGACCUCCCAGCCUUUGUUGAAUUAGUUAGGGAAUUCUAUGCCACAUUUGAAUUCAACCUUCCCACUGGUUACACAGUUUCCACCCCUGAUGUCAUCCGCUUCCGUUUAAUGGGUCAGGAAUUCCACCAUUCCAUAACUGACUUCAACCUGGCCUUUGGUUUCAUUGAUCCUGCCUAUGCUGAGUCUAGGGAGUAUGCCGAGAGUGCAUGUGACUAUGUUCAGCCGUUUUUCUCCCUCUAUCGCUUUAUUUGGGAUGAGAUGUCUGUCGAUAGGGAUAACUAUGACCCUCGUCUCUCUAAGGGUUCUUAUCUUAAGGACCCGGCGUCUCGCUAUAUCCACCGUUUUUUAGCUUUCAGUUUCUCGGGUAGGCGAGAUAGCUCGGGCGUUUUGUCUAAGCCGGAGUUUUUCUUUAUAUGGUGCAUGCAUAAUAACGUUAAAGUUAACUUGGGGUGCUGGCUCGCUUCUCAGUUCAAGUCCAUUUUGCCUAAAAAGAAGCGCCCCUUGAUUCUUGGGUCUUACAUUACUCACUUGGCUAUUAAUUUGCAUGUCCUUGAUAUUUCUAACCACAACUUGCAUAUAGCCUGUCAAAUGGAGCCUUUGGAUAUUCCGAGCUUGGAGAAAAUGGGCUUAGUUCGAGAGGGCGACAAUGGUUGGGAGGUUGUUCCCCCGGGACCGCUACACCCUCCCCCUCGUUCAUCCUUUGCCAGUGCCUCCACGGCAGGCGGUGAUCCCGGUCCAUCUUCCUCCGUUCCCUCCCAUUCCGCCCAUACGGAUGAGGAAUGGAACCAGCUCCGCAACACAGUUGAGCGGCUUGAGAUUCGGCAGAAACACAUGGACGUUAACAUUCACAAUAUGGCGCAGAAUCUAGCGGCUUUUAUGCAGCAAGCCGGGUUCCCUCCUCAAUUUUCGCCUAACCCACCCUUGUCUUGACGCCUUCAGGGAAGUACCGUUGCCCCUCCCCUUUUUCUGCUAUUAUCUUUUCACAUUGAGGGCAAUGCGUCAUUUAGGUGUGGGGGCGUCAGUUUGGGUGCUAGUUCUCGUUUCUUUAUUAUUUUUUAUCUUAUUUUCUGUUUAGGUGUUGCUCCUCUAUCCCUUUUGAGUGUCUUUCCCUUGCUUCUAUCUUGGUGAAUAUUUUUGGCAGCGCACUUUUUCUUGUUAGUUGUGGUUUGUACUAUGAGUUGAGUUACAGUGGCAAGUAAAAGCAUGCCUUCUUGGUGAAUACUUUGAGUUUAACGGCGUGGUGCAAUUUCUGGCUAACUCGUUUAGGCAAUAUAAAUAUUUUGCUGGCAUUGUUGUGUAGUUUGGUCUCCUGUUUACCUUAGUUCUCCAUAUUUGGGACAUGACGCAGGCUAUGAUAUGUAAUUAUUUGGUAUCUUGGUGUUUUAUGGUGAAUAACGUAUGGCUAUACUCCGCUAGUGUCGCCACCUAGUAACCGGGAGUUUUCACCACAAGUGUCGGCUCUCGCGUCAAAAAGUGACGAUAUCUAUGAGUAAAUAGUCCUGGAGCUAUGAAAGGUCGAGUAACUGGGCUCUUUCAUCUAAAAAUGUCAGAGUUCACGUCAAAAGACUUGAAUAGCUCUGGACUAAGCAAUCCAAAAAAAAAAAAAAAGACAAAAUCAGAUGUGGAGAGUAUGUGAGUUUAUGAUCAUGUUAGCCUGCCGAUCCUUGGUUCGUAUUGUUGAGAUUUUGGUUGACAGUUGACAUAAUUAUUGACUGUUGCUAGUUAGUAUUUGGAUUUCCUAAGCGAAUUAGCCAUGAAUUGGACAGGUCUAUGAACUUAGGAGCUAACCGGGAGAGACAUGUCUUGACACUAAGUCACUAGAUCUUGAUUUUGGGUAUACGCACAGUUGGCUAUGAUAAUGUGGAAGCUAGCCAUUGUUGAGCUAAAUUUUCCUCAUGCUUGAGGGCAAGCAUGAUUCAGGUGUGGGGGGAAUUGAUAGGGCACAAUUUGUUAGUGAUUUUAUUAUUAAUUUCCCCUUUUACCCCUGAUAAAUAUUGUGUUAAUUGCUGAUAUUUACUCAUAUUUGGUAUCUGGACUUAAUUUCAGGAAUAAAGCAGAAAACUACCAAAAAGGAGGGACUCUAUGGAAAAUGUGGAGACUCCUAAGAGCUUCAAUGCUUGGGCCCUUGAAUUGGUGGGGACCACAAGCUAGUGGAAAGCAUCUAGUCAAUUGGGCUCUUAAAAGAAAGCUACGGAAAGAGAUUUGGGGCAAGAAGUACUUUGAAGGCUUUGUCCACAUGUGUGGGGACCACCUAGAUAGACUUUAGUCAUCUUUCUUUUGUUGCUUAAAUAGGGAUAACGUAGAGUAGGAGGGACAUCUCUAGUUUUAGUCUUUUAGUGUAGCUUUACUUUUUCCUUCUUUUGACUGGCCUCUGACACACGCCAGGUGUUCGACAAAAUUCCCCAACGGGAAAAACAUCUUUUAUUCCUUGCUUUCUAGUAAAAAAAACGCUAUGCCUUUGCAAUCCAUUAAUUCGUGUGGUGAAUUAAUUAUGCGGCGUGGCUAAGUCUCCCAUCUAGUCAAGGGUCAAUUCGACGGCGCAGUCCCGAAAAUCUGUGAGAUCUAAUUAGUUUUCACGCGUUCCUUUAUCUAUUAAUAUUUGCAUGCUGC